rnacentral:rRNA from 1 species
AUUGAACGCUGGCGGCAGGCUUAACACAUGCAAGUCGAGCGGAGCGAGGGUGCUUGCACCUUAGCUUAGCGGCGGACGGGUGAGUAAUGCUUAGGAAUCUGCCUAUUAGUGGGGGACAACAUUCCGAAAGGAAUGCUAAUACCGCAUACGCCCUACGGGGGAAAGCAGGGGAUCUUCGGACCUUGCGCUAAUAGAUGAGCCUAAGUCGGAUUAGCUGGUUGGGGGGGUAAAGGCCUACCAAGGCGACGAUCUGUAGCGGGUCUGAGAGGAUGAUCGGCCACACUGGGACUGAGACACGGCCCAGACUCCUACGGGAGGCAGCAGUGGGGAAUAUUGGACAAUGGGCGGAAGCCUGAUCCAGCCAUGCCGCGUGUGUGAAGAAGGCCUUUUGGUUGUAAAGCACUUUAAGCGAGGAGGAGGCUACUUAGAUUAAUACUCUGGGAUAGUGGACGUUACUCGCAGAAUAAGCACCGGCUAACUCUGUGCCAGCAGCCGCAGUAA